GGAUGUGCGCUGAGCGCCCGCCGCCUUGCGUAGUUAUUAUCGGGUCCGCAACGUGUGAGCAACCCGUUUGGACUGUGGAGCUGUGGGGGAUUCAACUGUCUAUUCCAUUUCCACCCUAAUCUUUGUUGUCACCCUCAGUCGAGGGGAAUGCGAACGAAUUGACGAGUGUCCUCGUUGGAAUCGGCGGCGGAGGCGGGAGAAUCUGCUAGCUCGUGGACGGCGGAACACCUUGUGGCACCAGGCCGAGGACGCCGGGAAGAAAGCGAGCCUGACUGGAGCUGCUACCGGCGGCUAGCUUGCCGCCCCUGCAAAUCCAAAGCAGGGACGCCUUGUCCUCUCCGCCAGUUCGUCUAAGAUCACCUGAUGAGGUGAGGCAGUGGGAGGGGAACCUUGUUCCUGGACUUACGUUGGCCAUGGUGGAUGGAUUAGGCGUACGUGGGAUCAUGGGUUCAUUUUAUCAAGAUGUCAUAUGUGCUCCGGAGUUGAUAUGUUGAGCCACCUCUCCACAUUCAGCAACCCCAUGGCCGCUUCCUCCUCCUUUAAAGAGUUUUCCUUUCCCAUGGAGGACUCUAUCUCAAGGGUGAUGGUCCUGCCAGUGAGGGUCUUUUAAUGAAGAUUGCAUGGUGCAUUUAGCAGGUUCUAUGGUAAACUUGCAUGGUCGUUGUAUUAAAUUUAUAGGCAAAGUUUGUGUAAUUUCCAUAUUACUCCUACGUAAUUUUAUAGCAUAGUAGAUUAUAUGUCUCUGAAUUAUUUGUUCCAGUAAAGUUAUAUAGUAGUACUAUUAGCUUGUAUUGUUUAUGAAGACCAAGUAGUUAAAUAUAAUUUCCAUAUUAUUGUGUUUAGGCUUGUCAUGCUUUCAUCUCAUCAUAUCUGUGUUUGUUUUUAUCUGACAUGUCCUUUGUGCUUCCAGAUCUAUUGACCAUUGGUUUUCAAUCUCAAUUCUUUUCUUCUUAGCCUGCUUGAAAGAUCACUCAUGUAAAUAUAUACAUACUAUUAGGACCAAUUGAAAACUUAACGAUAAUGUAUAUAAAUCACACAUCUAGGACUUACGUAAUUUCAGGUAAUUUUUUUUAAAACAUAGCUAACAAGUGUCGAGCUUUAUGUCUGCUGUUUAAUUUAGCUUGGCUAUAUUUUUUCAGCAUCUCUUAUUUUUUUAUAGAUAGGCUCAUUUUUCUUUCUUUUUAAUACAUAUAUCAUGUGUCUUUAUUGGACAAUUCACUAGAAGUUCAGUGGUUGCCACUUGAAAACCUCACUUGUAGUUGUAGCGUCUAUGAAAGUAAAACUACUUGCAAAUUCUGUAAUUUAAUUCUUUUUAUUGUUUUUUGCUAGCAAAUUAUAACAAAUAAGAGUGUUUAUACUUGCUUAUUCUGUUAGGUUCUACCAUUAUCCACAUGUGUUUGACUCUGUCAAUUGUUAUAUAACUUCUGGAAUUGGAUGCAUGAUGCAAAAUUUGAAAAAGAAUCCGUGAGCUAUCUUUGAAGUAAUAAAGCUCCUAUUAUCUCUUGUUACCGUUGCUCUAUAUACUUUGUCGGUGGUGAUCUUUUAGUACAUCAGGAUCCGAUUCUGAAAAUGAGACAUGAAUUUGUGAAACUCUUUUACUUGUAGGUAUGUUCUUGUCUUGUUCGGCUCUAUCUAGAUCAUGUUCUGCUUACCCGUGUUUUGCAUAUACUAAAAUGGCCUGUCAGCAGGGUUAAAUUUUUCUUAUGUAAUAGUGUCUUCUGUAAUUCUUACCUCCCUUAAGCCUGAAUGCCUUGCAUGAGUCGACCCUAGCUAUGUGAAUGUGGAGAAGGGAUUCUUGAAACUGGACACACUAUGUCGAGUAAUUUUACAUCAUGUAUACUUGGAUAUUCAUUUUGCUUGCUGUCAAUUUCUGUUAUGAAGAAACACAGGUUAGCAGCAGCAGGAGAAGAGGGAACAUAUGAGAUCUAUUAUAUAGAAAGUUACAUGUGUGUAAUUUGAGUUGCAUCACUCUAAGCCCAUAUGUGAUUUGAGUCUUAUUUUAUAGAACUUGCAGCGAUUUGAGCCAUUGUGAUUCUUGUAAUAAAAUUUUACUUGUAAA